GUGUGUCUCUUUAAGAGCCAGUCUUCGGGUGGCUUCUUGAUAUUAAUAGAGCUGCUGUGUCUUCCUCCUCUGACGUAAUGCUCAGAGCCUACAGAGAGGUCCUGUCACACAGCAAAGCGAUAACACUCCUCUCAACUCUCAUUUACACAUAACGAGCUGCUCGCGCUUCGUGGCCACCAAAUCCCGACUCCGGGCGACUGAAUCUAUCAUUCAGCAACAUCGGAAUUUACCACAGCCGUGAACACUCACUAAUCAGUCGGUGGUGCUGCUGUGUUUCCCUCUCAGACCAAAGAAAAAAAAAAAAAAGACAGUCACCCCGUCCGACAUCAUCAACAAACAAAAAGCCCACAAAGAGACGAAGCAGCCAGAGCCACCAUCUUAACACACAGUGAGAGAGAGAGAGAGAGGCUAAUGCUUAUUUUGAUCAACAGGUAAGCGCCACCAGAAAGAAACACGAACACACACACGCACAAAAACAGCUCGAGUCGGCGCAGCGCUGCGGUUAAACGGCGCCGGUGGAAGUGCAUGCUUUACGGAGGAGAGAGAGAGAGAGGGAGAGAGAGAGAAAAGAGAGAGCUACAAAAUCAAAACCUCUCUCUCUGUUAGCCGCUAGUGGGGUUUUUACGACGGGCAGCAGUCGCUUUGCGUCUUAUGUAACGGCCUGAGGAAAAGAGGGGGAUCUGUGCUGAAUGAGAGGGAGGAAAAGAGCAGCUUUGAAUUCACAUGGCAACUUCACAUUUAGCUUAGGACACCCAAACGCAACACAAAUACAAAGUGGGCCAGCGGCCGCUGCUCCAAAGACAACAGCGAGGGGGGACGCCGACUCACUCCAACUAGGUUGCUAAAGGGAUGGUGGACUCUGACAACUGCGACGAGGCCUGAACCAGUAAAAAAAAUAAUAAAAUAAAGCUGGACAACAAGAGCUGCAGACUGCAUGAAACGUACAACUUGGACCUACAAACACGUCUGGCCAACUUCAAAACUGUAAAUUUACCCAAGAGGUGCGACUGCCAAAGCUUGCUGACACGUUUCUUGAAGGAAACCCAAGGAAACAGAUACCUUUUUUUGUUUUGCUUUUUAAAUCUGUAAUGUUCAUAGACUAUUGUGGAGUUCAGAGGAGCUGAUAAAGAAAUGGCAGGGCAUUAGUGUGGGCCUGACACCUGCUUUCUGCUUUCCAUUACCGUGUGGAAUACUGAGGGCCAGUAGCCGAUCUGCGCUGCUGGACACACCGCUGCAGUGCAGCGCCAAAACGAGCCACGUAGCCAGACCUGAUGCCAAAGCCCGGAGCCGAACAUGACAUUUUUAUAACCUGAUGAUCAGCAGAGAGAUGGUGAGGAAGAAGAAUCCCCCUAUCCGGAGUGUAGGAGGUGAGGAAGAGGAAGAGGAGGAGGGGAGGCGGCCAGGAGCAGAAGAAGAAGAUGAGGUAGAAGAAGAGGGGAGAGUAGCGGUGGAGGCCGAAAGAAUCAACCGUCCGUCCGAACCGGAGUCCUCU